GUAGGGAAUAUUGGGCAAUGGAUGCAAGUCUGACCCAGCCAUGCCGCGUGCCGGAUGAAGGCCCUCAGGGUUGUAAACGGCUUUUAUUCGGGAAGAAGAGCAGGGAUGCGUCCUUGUGUGACGGUACCGAAUGAAUAAGCACCGGCUAACUCCGUGCCAGCAGCCGCGGUAAUACGGAGGGUGCGAGCGUUGUCCGGAUUUAUUGGGUUUAAAGGGUGCGUAGGUGGCUGUUUAAGUCAGUGGUGAAAUACGGUUGCUCAACAAUCGAGGUGCCAUUGAUACUGAAUAGCUUGAAAUAAUUGGAGGCUGCCGGAAUGGAUGGUGUAGCGGUGAAAUGCAUAGAUAUCAUCCAGAACACCGAUUGCGAAGGCAGGUGGCUACGAUUGGUUUGACACUGAGGCACGAAAGCAUGGGGAGCAAACAGGAUUAGAAACCCGAGUAGUCC
rnacentral:rRNA from 1 species